rnacentral:lncRNA from 1 species
UGCUUUUGCCUUAUAUCUUUAAAUCUUGAUUGAGGAACAUUGUACUUAUCUUUAUUUUGGGCAUUAUUGUAUGAAAAUGUUCCUAUUUUGAUCAAUGAAGUCUGAAGUUUAUUCUUUAUUGCAUCUUUUCCCAUAUAUAUGUUUUUUGAUGAUAACAAAAAGGGGGAGAAGAGAAGGAAAGAGUAUAUAAAGGAAGCGAGAAGAAAAGAGUAUAUAAAGGGGGAGAAGAAAAGAUAGAGUAUUCACUUCGAGAAAAGAAAGAGUAUUUCAUUUGACAAGUUAAGAAAGAGUAUUGAUUUUGGAAGAAGCAAAGAUAGUGUUUAAAAAAAAAAUAUUAAUUUUGUGAGAAAGAGUGAGUAAAGAAGUUAUGAAAAGAAAAGAGAAAUAAAUGGGCAAACAAAUUGAAAAUCAUAUAAGAAAGCUUAUAUAUCUAAGGGGGAGCAAUUUGUAACAAUGAAAACCAAUCAAAUCAAAAAUUUCUAUCAUAAUUCAGAAUUUGGCACAUAUAAAUUCAAAAUUUGGCACGCUCCUCUCUCACCCCGAUACAUAAGCU